rnacentral:tRNA from 1 species
GGGUGAUUAGCUCAGCUGGUUUAGAGCACUGCCUUGACAGGGCAGGGGUCACAGGUUCGAAUCCUGUAUCACCCACCC